ensembl:snRNA U12 U12 minor spliceosomal RNA
AUGCCUUAAACUGAUGAGUAAGGAAAAUAACGACGCGGGGUGACGCCCGUGUUCUCGCAGACUCUCGCGAGGAGAAUUUUUGUAAGGGCACAGGUCCGUCUGCGAGGUGACUCACCUACUUAGUGAGAUGCCGAGCAGAGCCAGGAUCUGCCCU